AGAUAGAUACUGGUCAGUUAGAGACAGUAGGACAGAUAGAUACUGGUCAGUUAGAGACAGUAGGAUAGAUAGAUACUGGUCAGUUAGAGACAGUAGGAUAGAUAGAUACUGGUCAGUUAGAGACAGUAGGACAGAUAGAUACUGGUCAGUUAGAGACAGUAGGACAGAUAGAUACUGGUCAGUUAGAGACAGUAGGAUAGAUAGAUACUGGUCAGUUAGAGACAGUAGGAUAGAUACUGGUCAGUUAGAGACAGUAGGAUAGAUAGAUACUGGUCAGUUAGAGACAGUAGGAUAGAUAGAUACUGGUCAGUUAGAGACAG
ensembl:lncRNA